CCCAUCACAGCGCGAUGCCACCCCCAGGGUCACCAUGCCCGGCGCCCGCUGCCACCUCGCUGCCGCCCCGCUGUCCCCUCUGCCCCCCACGCAGCACGCGGUCACCCCGCGCUGCCCAGCCGUCGCCCGGUACUGCCGCGUCCCACCGCUGCACCACGUCCCUCGGUGCCACAUCCGCACAUCUCCUACGCAGGAAACUCCACCCCCUCCCUCAGGCAGCCCGUGCCAACGCUUGGCCACCCUCUCUGCAAAUAAAUGCUCCCUAAUAUUCAAUCUAAGGCUCCCACCUAAAGGGACCUGAACGCGCUCAAAAGGGGGGGCCCAUGUGAACCUCAUAGGGUUCAAUGCGACCAAGAGCAGGGAGCUGCAGCUGGGUCAGGACAAUCCCGGGUAUGUGUACAGACUGGGAGAACUCCUUGAGAGGAGCCCUGCAGAGAAGGACGUGGGGGUCCAGAUGGACAAAAAGCUGCACGUGAGCCGGCAGUGGGAUCUUGCAGCUUGGAAGGGCAACUGCACCUGGGCCAGGUGGCCCUGAUGGCAACGGAUUGCCCACCAGGCUCCCCAAGGCCCUGCUGAGGGCUAAAGCCUUACCCCAGCGCUGAUGCAGCCCCAGCUCAUGGGGACGUGGUUCCUCCUCCCUGGGGCUGGGAAAUCGGAUGACUCAGAGGAAGUGUGCAACGUGCAGCACUUGUGGUGCAGCAGAUGGCCCCGCACAGACCUGGACAGACUGACCCCCUCCAGCUGAGCUCCCGGAGGCGUGCAGCAGGGCUGUCAGAUUCUGGAGGCUCACAUCCCCCUUCUUCCUUCCUCUGAAGAUAGAACAGGGCUGUUUGCUGCGGGGCUGGAGGAGUGAUAACGAUGUGCUGGCACCGCUGCCCAGGGAGGAGGUGGGGUCACCGUCCCUGGAGGCGUGCAGAGCCGUGGAGAUGUGGCACCGAGGGACGCGGUCAGUGGGUGUGCUGGGAUGGGCUGGGGUUGGCCUCGGGGAUCUCUAAGGUCUUUCCCAACCCUAACGAUCCUAUGAUUCUGCUCUCUGCCUCGCUGUCCUCGGGGGACGCGCUUCCCAUUCUGGGAGGGCUUGGGCUGUGCGUUCCCUUUCAUUGAGGGAGACGAGGAGUUUUCACCGGCGUCCUUUACCAGCGGAGGAUGGAAGCGAAGCCGUCCCAGCAGCUCGGGCAGGUGCCGUGGGUCCCCACGCCAUCUAGUGUCGCCUCGGCGGUGGGAUGCUCCGCGCUCUGCUGCAGCCGCUGCGGGCUGGGCAGGCUGAGGUUAGAGGCAAGAGGCGCAAAUCCGGGCUGUGCCAGAAAGCUGUAUUUAUUUUAUAAAUAAAGCGCUUAUUUAUAAUGGA